rnacentral:rRNA from 1 species
GAAAUGCGAUAAGUAAUGUGAAUUGCAGAAUUCAGUGAAUCAUCGAAUCUUUGAACGCAUCUUGCGCUCCUUGGUAUUCCUAGGAGCAUGCCUGUUUGAGUGUCAUUAAAAUCUCAACUACACYUCUUCGGUGUGGAUUUGGAUUAUGGGAGUCUUUGCAGGCUUUUAACAAAGUCGGCUCUCCUGAAAUAUAUUAGUGGUGUCUGAGCAGACUACAGGUGUUGAUAAAAAAUCUUAUACCUUGGUUAAACUGCUACAACUGCUUCAAACAAAACAAAUUGUUGUAUUUGACCUCAAAUCAGGUAGGACUACCCGCUGAACUUAA